rnacentral:rRNA from 1 species
UUAAGUUUAUCCUGCUAAUUAACGCUGGGGCAUCUUUCACAUGCAAGUGACGGUAACAGGGAGCUUCUCCGCUGACGAGUGGCGAACGGGUGAGUAAUAUAUCGGAACGUACCCAAGAGUGGGGGAUAACGUAGCGAAAGUUACGCUAAUCCGCAUACGAUCUAUGGAUGAAAGCAGGGGACCUUCGGGCCUUGUGCUCCUGGACGGCCGAUAUCUGAUUAGCUAGUUGGUGAGGUAAAGGCUCACCAAGGCGACGAUCAGUAGCUGGUCUGAGAGGACGACCAGCCACACUGGAACUGAGACACGGUCCAGACUCCUACGGGAGGCAGCAGUGGGGAAUUAUUGGACAAUGGGCGCAAGCCUGAUCCAGCAAUGCCGCGUGAGUGAAGAAGGCCUUCGGGUUGUAAAGCUCUUUUGUCAGGGAAGAAACGGGCUUGGAUAAUACCUGAGCCUAAUGACGGGCCUAAGAAUGGCACCGGCU